rnacentral:rRNA from 1 species
CGCGCCCUUCGGGGUGAGCGGCGGACGGGUUAGUAACGCGUGGGAAUAUACCCUUUGGUACGGAAUAGCCUCUGGAAACGGAGAGUAAUACCGUAUGUGCCCUUCGGGGGAAAGAUUUAUCGCCAAAGGAUUAGCCCGCGUUAGAUUAGGUAGUUGGUGGGGUAAUGGCCUACCAAGCCUACGAUCUAUAGCUGGUUUUAGAGGAUGAUCAGCAACACUGGGACUGAGACACGGCCCAGACUCCUACGGGAGGCAGCAGUGGGGAAUCUUGGACAAUGGGGGCAACCCUGAUCCAGCCAUGCCGCGUGAGUGAUGAAGGCCUUAGGGUCGUAAAGCUCUUUCGCCUGUGAAGAUAAUGACGGUAGCAGGUAAAGAAACCCCGGCUAACUCCGUGCCAGCAGCCGCGGUAAUACGGAGGGGGUUAGCGUUGUUCGGAAUUACUGGGCGUAAAGCGCACGUAGGCGGACUGGAAAGUUGGGGGUGAAAUCCCGGGGCUCAACCCCGGAACUGCCUCCAAAACUAUCAGUCUAGAGUUCGAGAGAGGUGAGUGGAAUUC